rnacentral:misc_RNA from 1 species
UCUCCGUAGGUGAACCUGCGGAGGGAUCAUUACAGAGUUCGUGCCCUCACGGGUAGAUCUCCCACCCUGUGUUAUUAUACCUUUGUUGCUUUGGCGGGCCGCCCUCGGCUACCGGCCCCGGCUGGUACGCGCCCGCCAGAGGACCCCAAACUCUGAAUGUUAGCGUCGUCUGAGUACUAUACAAUAGUUAAAACUUUCAACAACGGAUCUCUUGGUUCUG